GAUGAAGAACGCAGCGAAAUGCGAUACUUGGUGUGAAUUGCAGAAUCCCGUGAACCAUCGAGUCUUUGAACGCAAGUUGCGCCCGAAGCCAUUAGGCCGAGGGCACGCCUGCCUGGGCGUCACACGUCGUUGCCCCCCCAUCUACUCCUUCGGGAUUGCGGGGGGGCGGAUGAUGGCCUCCCGUGCGCCUAGCCGCGCGGUUGGCAUAAAUACCAAGUCCUCGGCGACGCACGCCACGACAAUCGGUGGUUGCGAAACCUCGGUUGCCCGUCGUGUGCGUUCGUCGCGCAUCGAGGGCUCGAAAAAAUGCUCGGCUCCGGCUGGGCUUUCAACGCGACCCCAGGUCAGGCGGGGUUACCCGCUGAAUUUAAGCAUAUCAAUAAGCGGAGGA
rnacentral:misc_RNA from 1 species